UCAACGGUUACAUCAAAAUUAUUUAUAAAAGGGAGGUAAACAAACAGCAUGGGUAAGAUAAUUUUGGACUAAGACUAUGUCGUUCUAAACACUUUUAAUCUACUGUUCACCAACCGUCUCUUUGACUUAAGCAUCGAAGGAUUUUCGUCGGACACAACUUCGAUCUGUAAGGACUUUGUCUUGCAGGUGCUCUUCACUGACGACAGGUGAUAGGAGAUUGGCCACAAUAGAUUGGUGCGUU
rnacentral:lncRNA from 1 species